rnacentral:rRNA from 1 species
GCACUUCGGGAUAAGCCUGGGAAACUGGGUCUAAUACCGAAUAGGACCAUUUAGCGCAUGCUUUAUGGUGGAAAGCUUUUGCGGUGUGGGAUGGGCCCGCGGCCUAUCAGCUUGUUGGUGGGGUGACGGCCUACCAAGGCGACGACGGGUAGCCGGCCUGAGAGGGUGUCCGGCCACACUGGGACUGAGAUACGGCCCAGACUCCUACGGGAGGCAGCAGUGGGGAAUAUUGCACAAUGGGCGCAAGCCUGAUGCAGCGACGCCGCGUGGGGGAUGACGGCCUUCGGGUUGUAAACCUCUUUCAGCAGGGACGAAGCGCAAGUGACGGUACCUGCAGAAGAAGCACCGGCCAACUACGUGCCAGCAGCCGCGGUAGUACGUAGGGUGCGAGCGUUGUCCGGAAUUACUGGGCGUAAAGAGCUCGUAGGUGGUUUGUCGCGUUGUUCGUGAAAUCUCACGGCUUAACUGUGAGCGUGCGGGCGAUACGGGCAGACUGGUGUACUGCAGGGGAGACUGGAAUUCCUGGUGUAGCGGUGGAAUGCGCAGAUAUCAGGAGGAACACCGGUGGCAAAGGCGGGUCUCUGGGCAGUAACUGACGCUGAGGAGCGAAAGCGUGGGGAGCGAACAGGAUUAGAUACCCUGGUAGUCCACGCCGUAAACGGUGGGUACUAGGUGUGGGUUUCCUU